CGGGGACGCGCACAACCGACUCCCGUCGAAACUACACCCACGACCAUUGUUUCCGAUGUACCCCGACGACCGCGGACCAUCAAAGGACCUCCGCUGUCGGCCUGCGAAUCAAAAAAAAAACCCAAAGGAAUAAAUAAAGAUUGGAUACGGAGGGGGGGGAAAAAAAAGAAAAAAAUAAUGAAGAAAAAAAGGGAUUCGCUUACCCAGCAGGAAUCUCGACCGCCCUCCUCGUGGCCCGCACACAUCUGCUGAGGUUCGACUCGCGUUUUUUUACCUUGACUAGCGUACCACUGCCGACAUAAGUUAUUUUCCACCACACGUACACCGACCUUCUGAAGGAUGUCUGCCCUCUUGUCUGCAAGAUAUUUAUCCACCCCCAGCCCGCGGCGAUUGCGUUCUCUCCCUCGAAAUCGCUGUAGCCGGCGGCACCGUUCGACGACGGAAGGCAGGCCGGUCUGACGCUCUCCGACCAAGAAAUCGGUCUGUCUAAUUCCAGCAAAGCUAUGUCGUCUAUGUAACCACCGCAUUUGUGUCCAGGGUGAAUGAAAACUCUUCUGAUACUCU